rnacentral:rRNA from 1 species
UAGUCUGGGAAACUGCCUGAUGGAGGGGGAUAACUACUGGAAACGGUAGCUAAUACCGCAUAAUGUCGCAAGACCAAAGUGGGGGACCUUCGGGCCUCAUGCCAUCAGAUGUGCCCAGAUGGGAUUAGCUAGUAGGCGGGGUAAUGGCUCACCUAGGCGACGAUCCCUAGCUGGUCUGAGAGGAUGACCAGCCACACUGGAACUGAGACACGGUCCAG